UAGGGAAUCUUCCGCAAUGGACGCAAGUCUGACGGAGCAACGCCGCGUGAGUGAAGAAGGAUUUCGGUUCGUAAAACUCUGUUGUUAGAGAAGAACAGCGCAUAGAGUAACUGUUAUGCGUGUGACGGUAUCUAACCAGAAAGCCACGGCUACUACGUGCCAGCAGCCGCGGUAAUACGUAGGUGGCAAGCGUUGUCCGGAUUUAUUGGGCGUAAAGCGAGCGCAGGCGGUCAAUUAAGUCUGAUGUGAAAGCCCCCGGCUCAACCGGGGAGGGUCAUUGGAAACUGGUUGACUUGAGUGCAGAAGCGGAGAGUGGAAUUCCAUGUGUAGCGGUGAAAUGCGUAGAUAUAUGGAGGAACACCAGUGGCGAAGGCGACUCUCUGGUCUGUAACUGACGCUGAGGCUCGAAAGCGUGGGUAGCAAACAGG
rnacentral:rRNA from 1 species